rnacentral:lncRNA from 1 species
CAGGUUCCGGCUUCCACAGGGAAGACGGCUAGGUAAUUUCUUUGAUGAUCCUUCCUCUUGUCUUACAUCUCCUAUUUAUACUAGCCUCUCUCUCAAUAGAAGGCAACUUAUCUCUUAAUAAAAGGAAACUAAUCUCUCUGAAUAAAAGGAAGUUUAUCUCUAAAUAAAAGGAAACUCUCAAAAGGAAAUAGAUCCUAGGAUUACUGAAUUACUGCUGGCUGUCCCAGCCUUGAUCUCCUUCUCCUGCCGCAUGCCCCCUGGCCUGCUGUUUCCUUUUGUACUGCAUGCCGGUCAUAACAGAAUCACUGCUUAGAAACAUCUGUCUACCCCACCUAGGUGUGCUAGGUAGUUGGCAUAACUGGUGUCAAGCACUUCUAAAAACACUUAUAGGUAAAUUACAAAACAUUCCAUGGGCAGACCAUCAUAAUACUUUACAAGUCUGCAUGCAUUGAUGAGCACUGAUUUCCAGUAACUGUCUGGCUCACCUAGCAAGGUUUAGUUGUUUGAUUAUAGCUUCAUGAUCCUUUUGGUUCUGCAAAGCAGUACAUGUAAAAAUUUGUGCUGCAGAAAUACUAAAUGUAAUCCAUAUAUAAACUCAAUAUAUUUCAACAGAGAAAUCAAAUAAUUUAGGUCAAUUAAAAUUCUUUAUAUAUCCUAUAAGAAGAUUCAUUUUGUGGCAGUUAUUACUUUAGGAUCUGUUCUUGUGACUUCGUUGGUUGGUCAUAUAAAUAUGUGGAAUCUUAACGUGGCAACGAUGUCUGGAAAGUUCACAGACCUAACAUCGAAGACGUAAGCCUUACAACCUAACUUGUUAGAAGCUGAGAGUACAGGAGGAAAUAAGAAGUCACUGUGGUCUGUGGAAUCUGCCUUGGAGAUAGAUAUGCAACAGAAGUAGGACAGAGACAUGAUUUCAUAUUUUACUUGGAGAGAAACUGAGGAGUCCCAACGAAAAUAAAGGCUACCACUCUAACAGCUCUCUCCACAUUACAAAUCAAUCCCCUACAACUCUUACACUGCGCCUCUGCACGGAUUUAUCCUGGCUGCACAACGACACAACCAAAAAGAGCAGAACUAGCAGCUUGGCAUGAGUAUUGUCUCCCAAGCCCAGCCAACGAUCUAGAGUUCUACACCGAGUUGUCCUAACCCAUUUCAGGAGCCAACCGCGGGAGAGGGAGACGGACGGUGGGGAUUUACGGGAGGCAGAACCAGGAGGAGGCAGGCUACCCUUAUAGCCUUAAUAUAGUAGUAUAGAUUUACAAGCUCGGUGUUAAAAACAAGAAUAUUAAUUUGCAUAGUAGAUUCUAUAUCAUAUUUAUGCAUUAUCAAAGAAAAAAGACCAAAAACUGGUAUCCGAAUAGGUACCCAUUUUCAUCCCUAUGUAAAAUGGUAAGGACACUAGAAAGAAGCUAAAUAAUACAUGCAUGACAAUCAUUAUGCAUCUGAGUAUGGAAAACAAUAAUAUGCAAUGAUACACAUUAAAAAUUUGUCGCCUAUUUCUGCUUAGCAAAGAGGUAUUAAAACUUGGACCAAUAAAAAAACAGGGGAAGUGGGGCAAUACCAGAAUGUGUUUCUUUGAAGCUUUAGUUUCCUUAUUAGCCUACAACCAUGAAGAUACCUCAUUGCUUAGUCACGCAGCCUAUUCAAGUUUCAAAGGUCCAAGGAAGUUAAUUCUUGACAAUAUUCCUCAAUAGUCUUGAUGGAAGAUGAGGUAAGUUUCCUACAUUUAGAUAGCAAGUCAGAUAUGCAGCUCUAUGUUGAUUCUAUAUAUUUGCAUAAUAGUAAUAACUGUGGUACUGAUACUUUCAAAUAAAAACCAAUGCCGAAAGUGAGAAUUUGAAAAGAAUUACAAGCAACCAACAAACUGCUAACUGGUUUAGAUUUAAACCAUGUAUAGGAAUGAGCUCGUUCACAAAUUUGUCACACACAGAUUGUAUUCUAGACAUUGUCAAAACCUCUAGAUGAUUAAUCUUCUGUAGAGCAGGAAGAAUCACCAUAGCGUCCACAUUUGUGCAGUCAUCUAUAUAGAGUUCUCUAAGAGCUGAACGUAACUUAGCUAAGGUAGUUGGCAAUAUGUAGUCAGGUAUGCAUCUCCCAGAUAUAUCAAGCUGUAGAUCCUACAUUAAGACAAACACUGAAUUAGUUCCCACAAAUUAAUUUAACCAAAAGGAUAUAAGGUCUUAUUGAAAGGCAUAAUGUGUCCAUAUCAUAGAAACUGCAGAGUAAGCAAAUAGUACCUCCAACGAUGAGCGGUUGCACCAUGGAAGUGGCUGCUGUCAGGGCUAUGCGCGCACGAGAAGUCGCCUGAGCUAAUGACGGCGCGAGGGGUGAGUUUUUUGCUAUUAUAAUAUUGAUUUUGUGGGGCUUCUCUCCUUUAGUACUCUCAAUUUGAUCUUCUCUGUAAUAAUAUUUAUAAGUUGAUUCAUCCUUUAAAAUAGUACUCCAACCUUUUUUAAUCAUUUCCUUUUUUAUUUCUCACCAUUGACCAUAUUGCAUCUCUCUAUUUUAUUCUCUCCUUGCUCCCCAUCGUCGGCUCGACUCCUCUCUCUUCUCGCAUUCAGCAUCGCACCGACGGCACACAAAAAAACAUUGCAGCAGCACGCCGGUGCUGCUGGAUGGUGACCGUGCGGCCAACUGCCACCCUUUGCUACGGUCUGAACCACCAGACAGAAGAUAGCAGUGUUGCUCAUCGUCUGCACUCCUGCGUCUCUGCCUGGAUUAUUUGUGUUUCUAUUAUUUGUAUAGCUGCGAGGGUAAUGAUAGGGUCAACUUAUGUUCUGAGAAAUAAAAAAAGAAAAUAAAAAUGAUUGAAAAUGGUUAGAAUACUAUUUUGAAGGAUGAAUCAACUUGUAGAUACUAUUACAGAAAAGACUAAAAUGAAAGUACUAAAAGAGAGAAGCCUAUUGAAAUCAGUACUAUAAUAGCAAAUAACUCGCGAGGGGUUCCCAUAGGCCCAAGCGGUGGCCUCGGUAGAUUUGGAGUGAAGAGAUGGGGAGGAGGUGCGGGAGCUUACAGCAAUGGAGAACUAUGUGGCAGGGAUUUGAAUCUACCGCCGGGAAAGGACUGGUGGCUCUGGAGAGGACAGCGUGUAGGAGGUGGAGCCGGAGGGGGAGGUAGCGACCGACUUGGUGGCUCGGGCGAGGUCCUCUAUGGACUGUGGUGGUGCUCUACCUCCGCUCGAGACGUCGCAGAUUCGGCGGUGGACUGCAUGCACAUCUCCGCCUUGCUGGAGGUGCUCCUCGCCCACCCGCAUUUUGAUGGUGAUUGGGGAGAGUGGGGAGAGGAGGAGGCUGCACGCCACAAAGGGUGAAGCGGUUGGGGUCGACGGUGCGGCGGAUCAGCCCCGGGUCUCGUACCGUGUCGGGGGAGGAGUAGGGCGCAUCGCCAGGUGGAUCGGCCUCGUGGCCGCCACAGCCGAGGGGUGAGCAGGGCGGUGUGUCGCCGAAGUCAGGGGGACACGGUUGGAUCGCGCGUGGAUGAGGCGAAUGGUCCAGAUUCAC